AUUGUUAUUUUGGACUAUAGGGUGUAGUUUUUAAAGUCAUACACAAUAUGGCGGCGAUUAUGCGGAAAUGAAAUUGAAUGUUACUUCGAACACGUUCUUCUACAAAAUAACCGACCUGUAUUUAGUGCUAUUGCUUUAACAUCAAUCGAAGCAAAAAUGGCAUCAAUGUAUGCGUCUAAAAAUGUUAAAUUUAGAUGGAGACAAUCCAGAAAUGAGCUGCCAGGAAGUGAUCGAUUUCGGACGGUCCAUAGAAUUACCGGAAUCCCCUUAUUACCGGAAUCUACCAUAAUCUAAUUAAAUUAUACUUAAAUGUUGUUUGGGGAUGUUUUAAGCUUUAAUAUAUGUAAUGUUCUAAGAGGUAUACCUUUAUAAUCAUAUUUCCAUAUACAGAAAGUGACAAGGAUUCCGGUAGUUUGCAGGUCGGAUUGGCGAUUAUAACGAUUUGACCAAGCUACCGGAAUCUCUUGAGAAAUAAUGAUUAAACUAUACUUAAAUGUUGUUUGGGGUGUUUUUAAGCUUUACUAUAUGUAAUGUACUAAGAGGUAUACCUUUAUAAUCAUAUUUCCAUAUACAGAAAGUGACAAGGAUUCCGGUAGUUUGCAGGUCGGAUUGCCGAUUAUAACGAUUUGACCAAGCUACCGGAAUCUCCUGAGAAAUAAUAAUUAAACUAUACUUAAAUGUUGUUUGGGGUGUUUUUAAGCUUUAAUAUAUGUUAUGUACUAAGAGGUAUACCUUUAUAAUCAUAUUUCCAUAUACAGAAAGUGACAAGGAUUCCGGUAGUUUGCAGGUCGGAUUGCUGAUUAUAAUGAUUUGACCAAGCUACCGGAAUCCCCUGAGAAAUAAUAAUUAAACUAUACUUAAAUGUUGUUUGGGGUGUUUUUAAGCUUUAAUAUAUGUAAUGUACUAAGAGGUAUACCUUUAUAAUCAUAUUUCCAUAUACAGAAAGUGACAAGGAUUCCGGUAGUUUGCAGGUCGGAUUGCCGAUUAUAACGAUUUGACCAAGCUACCGGAAUCUCCUGAGAAAUAAUAAUUAAACUAUACUUAAAUGUUGUUUGGGGUGUUUUUAAGCUUUAAUAUAUGUUAUGUACUAAGAGGUAUACCUUUAUAAUCAUAUUUCCAUAUACAGAAAGUGACAAGGAUUCCGGUAGUUUGCAGGUCGGAUUGCCGAUUAUAACGAUUUGACCAAGCUACCGGAAUCUCCUGAGAAAUAAUAAUUAAACUAUACUUAAAUGUUGUUUGGGGUGUUUUUAAGCUUUACUAUAUGUAAUGUUCUAAGAGGUAUACCUUUAUAAUCAUAUUUCCAUAUACAGAAAGUGACAAGGAUUUCGGUAGUUUGCAGGUCGGAUUGCCGAUUAUAACGAUUUGACCAAGCUAACGGAAUCUCCUGAGAAAUAAUAAUUAAACUAUACUUAAAUGUUGUUUGGGGUGUUUUUAAGCUUUAAUAUAUGUUAUGUACUAAGAGGUAUACCUUUAUAAUCAUAUUUCCAUAUACAGAAAGUGACAAGGAUUCCGGUAGUUUGCAGGUCGGAUUGCUGAUUAUAAUGAUUUGACCAAGCUACCGGAAUCCCCUGAGAAAUAAUAAUUAAACUAUACUUAAAUGUUGUUUGGGGUGUUUUUAAGCUUUAAUAUAUGUAAUGUACUAAGAGGUAUACCUUUAUAAUCAUAUUUCCAUAUACAGAAAGUGACAAGGAUUCCGGUAGUUUGCAGGUCGGAUUGCCGAUUAUAACGAUUUGACCAAGCUACCGGAAUCUCCUGAGAAAUAAUAAUUAAACUAUACUUAAAUGUUGUUUGGGGUGUUUUUAAGCUUUAAUAUAUGUUAUGUACUAAGAGGUAUACCUUUAUAAUCAUAUUUCCAUAUACAGAAAGUGACAAGGAUUCCGGUAGUUUGCAGGUCGGAUUGCCGAUUAUAAUGAUUUGACCAAGCUACCGGAAUCCCCUGAGAAAUAAUAAUUAAACUAUACUUAAAUGUUGUUUGGGGUGUUUUUAAGCUUUAAUAUAUGUCAUGUACUAAGAGGUAUACCUUUAUAAUCAUAUUUCCAUAUACAGAAAGUGACAAGGAUUCCGGUAGUUUGCAGGUCGGAUUGCCGAUUAUAACGAUUUGACCAAACUACCGGAAUCCCCUGAGAAAUAAUAAUUAAACUUUACUGAAAUGUUUUUGGUACCAAAAUCUAAUUAAACUAUACGUAAAUGUUGUUUGGGGUAUUUUUAAGCUUUAAUAUAUGUAAUGUUCUACGAGGUACACCUUUAUAAUCAUAUUUCCAUAUACAGAAAGUGACAAGGAUUCCGGUAGUUUGCAGGUCGGAUUGCCGAUUAUAAUGAUUUGACAAAGCUACCGGAAUCCCCUGUGAGACAGAAUGACUAAAUUUCAAUACUGUUUUCUUUUUCAGAUUUAACUUAGAAUACAAUAGGAGUAUUUCAAUUACGUUUUUGAAAAUGAUACUUUGUUGAAUGUUUGUGUCGUGUUCUAUCUAUAUAUUUCUUUUUUCAAUCUGAAUGAUGUUACUGUAGCUGGAAGGGAAGACCGCUAGCACGUGACAAUAGAGUACCAAUAAUACAUAGAUGGAUGUCGGACAGAAUCUGUUUCUUGAUCCUUUAUGCUGUUAUUCAUGUUGAAUGGGGAAAACAAAUUCACCGAUAUAAAUGAAAUUUAUUUCUCGUAAACAAUAAGAACAAGUAACAUUUAAUUCAAAACAUAACAACACGAAUGAGGAAAAAUAGUUUUUACAACCCUGUCUCAUCAAGAUAAACUAAAUCUUUUAAAUAAUGUUUAGGGAAUCUUAUAUUUUUCAUACACAAAUAGCUGCCGCUUUCAUUAAAGAUUUCGUUGAUCUUUUUCCUCUGGGCGUUGAAACUCCGGUGGGUUAAGUCCACGCUCCUCGGGAAGGUACCGCGUUCUGUGAUACCACAGAGGUACACUUCUUGUACGCCCGCGUCCAGGAUUACAUCCCUUAGAUGUAGAACAUCUCCGGCGAUCCGUCUUGGAGAUGAUGCCGUGUACCUGUUGUUGGGGCCCUUAAUCACUAGGGUGGUAAUACAAUGAAGACCUAGUAACCGUUCACCUACAUGCACCAUCUCAACCAAGUUUCAUUUCUGUAUAUAUUAUUUUAUUUUAAAACAAACUCUUCUUUUGGUCAGGAAUUACCUGUUGGUGGGGCCCGGUAGUAAUAUAAUGAAUACCUGGUAUGCAUUUUCCUUAAAUAUAAAGAGUUAGUAAGCUUUCACCUGUAUGCACAAUCUCAAGCAAGUUUCAUUUCUGUAUAUAUUAUUUUAAUUUAAAACAAACUCAUUUUUUAUCAGGAACAAGUCUCAUAUCUGUAUAUAUGAUUUUAUUUUAGAACAAACUUUUUUCAAAUGUAAAUGUCUUCAAAAUGAUAUUAUGUGGCAUUAUUAAAAAUAUUUAAGGCAGUAUGACGCUUUGUCUACACAAUUGACACUUUGUUUUGUUCGUUUGUAACAAAUUGUCUAUUCCAAUAUUCAAAUAUUUCAACCUACCAUCUGUGAUAUAGUGAAUAUGACUUCAACAUUACUAAUAACAAUUUUUAUUUACUACUAAUCUGUGAUACAAUGCGAAUUUUCUUUUCGUAUACAGUUGAACACCGCUAUUCCGAACACCGUUUAUCCAAAAUUCUGAAAAUUUUCGUAAUUAUUUUUCGGCCCCGAUAUUACUCCUUCUUUGUUUAACUGAUCUUUAAUCUCCCGAUUUGGUAUCUCACACCUAUUUAUCAGUUCUUAUUUCGAACUUGACCAUGUCAUAGUUUUUCACACCAUACUUAAAAUGCACUCGGGCAUCGGCUUGAGGUGACAAUGGAUCACAAUUGGAGCUUGUUUAAGAAUGACACUGAGCACACGUAUGUUACAAACAUCGAUGUCAGAAAAUGAGCGAUUUAUUUGGGUGAUGCGGUGUGUAUAUAAUUGCUGGUUAACACAACUGAAUAUCAUUCUGAAAUAACUCCGUGUAACCAACAUUGCAAUGUUCACGACUUAGUAUUUUAAGUCAUCUAUAUUUCGCGAACGCUGUCAUUUUCUAAAAAAUUGUUAAUCCGAAAUAUCGCAUACAUGUCAUGUGCACCGGUAAACCCUGUUGUUUUAUUUAAAUAUUCCAAUACCCCCUCGUGUUCUCAUGCACCAGGAAGUUCUGCAAAAGAAAGAUUGAGAAGUGCCUGGAUACAAGGCUAGUAUUGUUAACAUCAUCUGAUACAAUCAACUGGAACAAAGCUGAAAUGGCUGCCUGACCUGACUUAAAAAUUGGAUGGCAGUACAUCAGACUAAAAGAUUACAAGUAUUGAGGUGGACAAAAUGAAACCUGAGCCUACCAAAGCUGACAGAUUGCAGAAGAAACACAUAAAUGCAGAUGGGAAGAUUCAUUCUCUGGAAAGUAGAAAAGGGCAUGUUACAUACUGUUAUCACUGCCAUGACAGAAACCAUAUUGAGGAGCUGGUCCACCUGUUGGAAGAAUUGCGCUAUUGGUUGGAGCAGCACUAUUACCCAGCCAUACACCAGCACUUAGUUUGUCAUAGGGAGCAUUUCUGAGCAGUUAUGGAGACCACUAACUAUGCAGUUGUUGCAGUGAAACUUGCACCAGUGUGUUUUCUGUGGAGAUAAAGAGAUAGUGUCCAGCAAUGAAGACCCAACUCAAGAUCUGACCUUGUUAUGCCAAUAUGAAAUAACUGUGUGGGAAAAUGGGAAAAACCUGCAGUCAGGAAUGCACGGAAAUCAUCAAAAGAACAGUGAUUAAUCUUGAAUAACUUGACAUUUUUUUUGUUUGACAUAGUUAUUCAUGGUGCAGUGAAAACAUUCUUUUUUUCUUAUGGUUAUUUAAAUUUAGAAUUGAUAGGAGGGAACAUCACUAUGUAGUUUCAUGUUCAUAGUCAGAUCAAAACCCAUGUACAUGCCCAAAUGAGCAUUCGAAAAUAUCAAAAUGGUACUUGUUGUAUGUAGUGUAAGUUAAUUAACAUAAUAAACAAAAAUAUUUAAUCAA